rnacentral:rRNA from 1 species
UACGUAGGGGGCUAGCGUUGUCCGGAUUUAUUGGGCGUAAAGGGCGCGUAGGCGGCACUGUUAGUCAGGCGUGAAAGUCCUGGGCUCAACCUGGGAACUGCGCUUGAUACGGCAGAGCUAGAGGAUGGAAGAGGCUCGCGGAAUUCCCAGUGUAGAGGUGAAAUUCGUAGAUAUUCGCAAGAACACCAGUGGCGAAGGCGGCCGACUGGUCCGGUUCUGACGCUGAGGCGCGAAAGCGUGGGGAGCAAACAGG